rnacentral:rRNA from 1 species
UACAGAGGUCUCAAGCGUUGUUCGGAUUCAUUGGGCGUAAAGGGUGCGUAGGCGGCGCGGUAAGUCGGGUGUGAAAUCUCGGGGCUUAACUCCGAAACUGCAUUCGAUACUGCCGUGCUUGAGGACUGGAGAGGAGACUGGAAUUUACGGUGUAGCGGUGAAAUGCGUAGAUAUCGUAAGGAACACCGGUGGCGAAGGCGGGUCUCUGGGCAGUAACUGACGCUGAGGAGCGAAAGCGUGGGGAGCGAACAGG